UGGCAUUUGCCGUGAAUAUCUUUUGAAUAUAUUUUCUACUUUGAAGAAUUUGAUUUUACCUAAUGGUUACAUGGGAACAAGUGGCAUCCUCAUGUGUACUGUUCAACAACAAGGGAAUAAAAUUUGAAGACAAUAUUCUUUCUCUUCAGGCCACAGCAUUUGAAAAGUCAUCUAUAAGUCCAUGCUACAAAAUCCUGAUAAUGGAAAGGAAUGAAUAAAGUUAGGCCGAAAAAAGAUGGCAUUGUAAGUUUCAACAAAUCAAGUUUGAAAAGCCAGAGACUUUGUGAACUUUAUGCCAGUACAUGCUAAUAUACUGGUUCAUAGUGCCAACAUUGAAUGUGUUAUAUCAUUAACAAUUUUUCAGUGAACAAAUGAACAAAAUUAAUUGGAUAUGACCACUAUAGAAACUGUGUCAUUAUGGAGUGACAUAUAAAUGGAAUACAUACUGCAAGGAAUUUUAUAAGCAAACUCUGUGAAACAAAAAACCAUUUGGGAGAGCCAAACCAUCAGAGAAUAUGAUUUUUAAAAACAGAGAAUUCUACGUAUGGAAAAGAGCUAUUUGUAGCUGCAUAAAGAAAAGCUGCCACCCUAGGAAAGACUUUGACCCAUCCAGCCUGUGCUGCCUGUCCUGUAAAGUAUUUGAUUUCAAGAAUGCACAGCAGAUUUGUAAGGAGGGAAUAAUGAAUAUGUGGUAUGGCACAACUCUACUCAGAAGUGACAAAUUUCAGAGUCUUAACAGGAUUAAACCAUUUUCUUGCAACCACUACUUUAUGCGUAUGAAGGGUCUGAACUUGUAG
rnacentral:lncRNA from 1 species